GAGAAGCUUGCUUCUUUGAUGCUUAGCGGCGGACGGGUGAGUAACACGUAGGCAACCUGCCCUCAAGCUUGGGACAACUACCGGAAACGGUAGCUAAUACCGAAUACAUGAUUUGUUCGCCUGAACGAAUUUGGAAAGACGGAGCAAUCUGUCACUUGAGGAUGGGCCUGCGGCGCAUUAGCUAGUUGGUGAGGUAACGGCUCACCAAGGCGACGAUGCGUAGCCGACCUGAGAGGGUGAUCGGCCACACUGGGACUGAGACACGGCCCAGACUCCUACGGGAGGCAGCAGUAGGGAAUCUUCCGCAAUGGACGCAAGUCUGACGGAGCAACGCCGCGUGAGUGAUGAAGGUUUUCGGAUCGUAAAGCUCUGUUGCCAGGGAAGAACGUCCGAUUUAGUAACUGAUACCGGAGUGACGGUACCUGAGAAGAAAGCCCCGGCUAACUACGUGCCAGCAGCCGCGGUAAUACGUAGGGGGCAAGCGUUGUCCGGAAUUAUUGGGCGUAAAG
rnacentral:rRNA from 1 species